CCCGGGCCCUGAGAAGAGCUUUCUCCUUCUUAUCCCACGUGUGAACUGGGAUUUGAAUGUCAGUGUUCCUCAGCAACAAGCCUGACCCAUAAGGGUGCAACUCCAGACAAGAGAAAAAGAAAAGCAUCCAGCUACAGCUGUGAUUGUAUCAGACAUCAGAGCUCAGAGGGGCACACCAAUGUACCCUAAUUUCAAGCUCAUUAUCUUGCAGACAGGCUGACUAGAUCAGAGGGAGGGGUUAAGGUCUAGAUAAGAAGACAAACCUUCCAAGGAAACACCGGAGUGGAAUCCAUGUUGAAGCCUCAGAAGGACCUCAGGAACCUGAAAACGCAGCUGGCUUUCAGGAGAGUGCUGAAAUGACUUUUUGCUCUGCUGAUACUGUGAUCCUUCUUCCAAUCUGAAGAGAGGUUUCUUUCCUUUGAGAUGUAGCUCUUAGCAGCUUGUGGGGCAAGUGACUCAGUGCAGUGCCUGAGGCUGCAGGAGCAGGGCUGAUGGUAACUACCAGCAGCUGAGCCUGGGAACCUAAUCACAUUUCUGUUCCUGCUUCAUCUCAGUUGAAAGGUAAAACUCCUCAGCUAACAUCUCACCAAAGGUUCCUUAGAACUGGAGCAGGCUUAAGAGCAGGUACAUCAGUUCCCAGCGUCACUGAGGAGCAGGAACAGCUCCCUGGGCACGUCUACUGCCAGGAGAUGUCUCAGCCAAGGCUUUUUGAGCCAAGAUCUGAGGGAAAUGGUUUAACCAGAUGUGUGCCCAUGCCUGCGACGCUGAACUUUGAGAUGCUGCUAUUUAAACAGCUCGCCAGCUCCUCUGCCUCCCAGCAGCGAGGUCCUCACUUCAGGCACCUUAAGGCUGUUUGAAGAACUCAGUGCUCCCCAGCAGCAGACAGUGCCAGACUUUGCUUCAUAUGAAAUAAAUGUGCUCGAAUCCUG